rnacentral:rRNA from 1 species
AACGGAGAGUUUGAUCCUGGCUCAGGACGAACGUUGGCGGCACGCCUAAUGCAUGCAAGUCGAACGAAAUCCCACCGCUUGCGGUGGUGUAUUUAGUGGCAGACGGCUGAGUAACGCGUAACUAAUCUGCCUUUGGGAGGGGAAUAACAAAGGGAAACUUUUGCUAAUACCCCGUACGAUCUAUAUUUUACUUUUUAUAGAUGAAAGGUGUCUUUGACAUCGCCCUUAGAUGAGGUUGCGUACUAUCAGGUAGUUGGUGGGGUAAUGGCCUACCAAGCCUAAGACGGUUAGCUGGUGUGAGAGCACGACCAGCCAGAGGGGGACUGAGACACGGCCCCCACUCCUACGGGAGGCAGCAGCAGGGAAUCUUCCGCAAUGGGCGAAAGCCUGACGGAGCGAUGCCGCGUGAGGGAUGAAGGUUUUUGGAUCGUAAACCUCUUUUCUUGGGGAAGAGCAAGGACGGUACCCAAGGAAUAAGUCACGGCUAACUACGUGCCAGCAGCCGCGGUAAUACGUAGGUGACGAACGUUGUCCGGAAUUAUUGGGCGUAAAGGGUCCGUAGGCCGUUUAGUCAGUCUCCUGUGAAAUCUCUAGGCUCAACCUAGAGAGGUCGGGAGAUACUGCUAAACUAGAGAUUGUCAGAGGCAAGUGGAAUUCCCGGUGUAGUGGUGAAAUGCGUAGAUAUCGGGAGGAACAUCAAUGGCGAAAGCAGCUUGCUGGGGCAUUUCUGACGCUGAGGGACGAAAGCGUGGGUAGCAAACCGGAUUAGAUACCCGGGUAGUCCACGCCCUAAACGAUGAAUGCUAGGUUUGCGGGGUAUCGACCCCUUGUGAGCCGAAGCUAACGCGAUAAGCAUUCCGCCUGGGGACUACGGCCGCAAGGCUAAAACUCAAAGGAAUUGACGGGGGCCCGCACAAGCGGUGGAGCGCCUGGUUUAAUACGAUGCAAAGCGUAGAACCU